GCCUCAUGGCAUGGUUUUUGCUCUGACAUGCACUGUCAACUGUGGGACCUUAUAUAGACAGAGGGAGGGUCCAGCAGUACUUCCGGGUGCUCCUCGCCACGCCCAACUCUCACGUGAACCCAUACCCGCCCCCGACGCCCGGAGGCCUGGCCCUGAUCCAACCGGAGCUCACCUCCUUGGCGGUCACCUUCGUCAGCCUGGUCAACUUCAACAAGCAGGUCUUCAACAUGAUGAUCCUCAAGACCCUGCUCUUCAGUAACACGGUGCCUCCACCGGCAGCCACCGCACCUCAGGACCCCAGCAUACAGAACCCUGUGAACUCCAACUAGGACCGCCACCUACCUACCGAGCCAGGAGCAAUACAAAGCUGGAGCUGACAACACCUUAUUUGAAAAGGGGAGAAGAAAGGAAUGACUUAGCAGCUACCUAAAUCCACCCCCCCAGUGGUCGUUCUGAUUCCUUGAGGCUGCAAUCGCCCCCCCCCCCAUCCCUAACCGUCCUUCCCUUAGGCUUUAGAUGAAGUAGUAUCACAUCUACCUUUUGUCUAGAACGUCGGGGUACGUGCAUUAGAGGUGCGUCAGGAAAAUGACAACAAGCAAUUGUGGUGCACGUCCAAGCUUUGACUAAUCCACCUCCCACUGUCGUUUAUUGCGACAUCCGCUUUGUGACACCUGACCUGUUCGUGAGAUUUUGUGUAGAUUCAUACCUAAAAUUGGACCCUAGUGUUUUGUGUGAGGAAUCUUUCCCAAUGUCCUUUUGAAUUAGAUCCGGGUACGUUGUGAAUCUGCGCUGGCAUGGAAGGGAGUGCUCGACACCCAUUCUUCUGUUGUUAUUUUGGAGGGUGUCGUCGGAAAAGGGUAGACUGUUCAUGAAGAGCUGCUGUUACAAAGAACAUUUAUACACGUUUCAUAGACUUUAUGACAAAAGGGAAAGGCCUAUAUAUUUAGAAUCAUGUCGCCCAUUUUUAUAACAUCACAUUUCGUAUGCUUUAUGCUGUGCAGAGCGUAGGUUAAAUAAAGUUGAUCUAUAACUGUUUCUUACACGUUGACAAAUCCAGAACACAAAAUGCUAUAUUAUUCAUGCCAUUAGCUUAUUCAUUGACGUGCCACCGUUUGAAUAGAAAUAUAAAAAGUUUGUUUUUAACUUAUGUCGGCUUGUGAUAACUCUCCAUUAAACUGGUUAGGGCUCGGGAAAUGUCAUCUUGAAUGAAAACAAGAGACUUGUUUUAAUUGUUGCUUUCCAACAUGUCGAAGACAUAAUUAAUAUAUAUAACUUUUUUGGGGCGGGGGGCCCUGAUUAAUUGAUAUGAUUAUGGAAUCACUAAAUCUGAUGCAUUCUGAAUUUUGACCUUUUGGAGAUAAAUAUAAUGCAUGUUUUAUUUUGUGUUAACAUUUGUUGGAAAAAUGUUUUGUAUGUUAGACCUUGCAUAAUAUUCAGUCAUUUUGUUGGGUUGUUUGAAUGUGUUGACUUAAUGUAGAUUUUUGUUUUGUUAUUUUGUGUUAGUGGAUUUAUGAGGUGGCUUGCUUUAUAUAUUCAAGGUACCAGUAUUAGUUGUCCUUCUAUACCUAUAUUUCCCUAAAAGCUAUCCAACAGCUGUAUGUUUCUGGACAUUUUAUGUAAUAUCUAUCUUUUGGUUUAGAACUCAAGUCAUGAGAGGUGCUGAAGGUGUUUUGAAAUGUCUAAAACAAUGGAACUUUUUGAUGCAGAAUAAACAUUGUAUGUUGUUAGCUUUUAAAAUUCACUUGAAUAAAUACAUUUUUAUCUUCUCAUGUAAUGCAGCUAUAAUACAAUAAACUCUCAUGCAGUACCUUA